CAGUCGCCGCGGUAAUACGUAGGGUGCAAGCGUUAAUCGGAAUUACUGGGCGUAAAGCGUGCGCAGGCGGUUAUAUAAGACAGAUGUGAAAUCCCCGGGCUCAACCUGGGAACUGCAUUUGUGACUGUAUAGCUAGAGUACGGCAGAGGGGGAUGGAAUUCCGCGUGUAGCAGUGAAAUGCGUAGAUAUGCGGAGGAACACCGAUGGCGAAGGCAAUCCCCUGGGCCUGUACUGACGCUCAUGCACGAAAGCGUGGGGAGCAAACAGGAUUAGAUACCCGCGUAGUCCCUGUCUCUUAUAA
rnacentral:rRNA from 1 species